CCUACGGGGGGCUGCAGUGGGGAAUAUUGCACAAUGGGCGCAAGCCUGAUGCAGCCAUGCCGCGUGUGUGAAGAAGGCCUUCGGGUUGUAAAGCACUUUCAGCGGGGAGGAAGGCGGUGAGGUUAAUAACCUCAUCGAUUGACGUUACCCGCAGAAGAAGCACCAGCUAACUCCGUGCCAGCAGCCGCGGUAAUACGGAGGGUGCAAGCGUUAAUCGGAAUUACUGGGCGUAAAGCGCACGCAGGCGGUCUGUCAAGUCGGAUGUGAAAUCCCCGGGCUCAACCUGGGAACUGCAUUCGAAACUGGCAGGCUAGAGUAUUGUAGAGGGGGGUAGAAUUCCAGGUGUAGCGGUGAAAUGCGUAGAGAUCUGGAGGAAUACCGGUGGCGAAGGCGGCCCCCUGGACAAAGACUGACGCUCAGGUGCGAAAGCGUGGGGAGCAAACAGGAUUAGAUACCCGAGUAGUC
rnacentral:rRNA from 1 species